UAUUAUAAAAAUAUUUUAACAAUAAAAUAACUAUUUAAUUUUUAUUUCAUUUUAUUUCCCUGUAUUCUAUUCCAUCUUAUUUUAUUUCAUUUUGUUAUUCGACUCAAUAUCAAAUAUUCACUGAUCAUAUGUGGGUCCCUUUUUAAACUUUUAUGAUGCCAUUUUCCAAUAUUGUCGGAAAAGUUAAUUGCUUCUAGAUCGAUAAUUUUGUGAGGCUGACUUAAUUUCUGAUACUUAUAUUGCUAAACCAAAAUUUCAGGGUGUCAAAAUCAAAUUGAACUGCCUAGACCCAGACAUGGCAGAAGUGUCCUUACCAUUGGGAUCUGAAGCAGAGCAAACCAGGUUUCCCAAUCAGUCCAAGCCACAGCAAUCCAAAGAAAAAAGGGAAAAAAUUAGCUUGAGAUAAUAAAGAAUUGGUAUCGGUAGUACAGCACCACGUGUCAAAACAUUCAGAGGUAAUCACAUUUUAUUUUAAUUAAGACAAAUCAUUCUAACAAAACGUGGUUUGACACCCACAGAAAACUCGUUUUAAUUACCCUUUUCCUUUUUGUUCAUUAUAGGAUCCUUUUCCAAGUAGAGAAACCAACAAAAUCCUAAUCCAACAAUACGACAUCUCUACAAAGCUAUCAAACACCAAAAUGGAGGUUUCAUUGGCAGUUCAUGUAAACUUUGUCAUUCUAAACAAAGAGUGAAAAAUCACUGCAGUGUCUAGAAUUAUGUGAUCUUACCGAUUUCUAAGUGAUAUGUAAUCAUGUUUGUCAAUCUAGGAGAAAAAACUAAUAACAUAAUGAAUAAAAGUUGACAAAGAAAAUGUAGCUGUGAACAAGGUUUUAAAAAACUGCGAUCGUGAUUUCAGCCAAAACAUCAAAAUAAUUUAAUUGUCCAUAAUUGUAAAGGCACCGUAAUUAGAAUACUACAUCUGCCAGUCAUUUGGGAGCAGAUCAAUUAAUGAAUAAAAAAGCAUUACAUUACCGUUCAUCCAGUUUUUCUCUGGUUGGAAAUGAAAAGCAGUUCUCUGCCAAGACAACAUGCUGUUGUCCCAUGGAAAUGCCUUCGAAGCUCCAUCUUUAACCGCAAACAACAUGCUUGAUGACUUCUCUGACACCCCGGAAGAAACACCUCGCGAAACCGGGUACCAUUUCGGAGAAGGCACCGAUGUCGGACUACGUUGCUCAUCGUUCGAUGUUGCCGAUGCCACGUCGGCAUGCGGCGCGUUGGAGGCCCUGUACCCUCCAAAGGCAACAAGGGAAGAGAG